CGCGUUGUCUGCAUUGCGUCUCAUUUCACCCAGGACAAAGUGCAGAGUUGUGUCUCUCGCUUCACAUAUGCGACUCUGGCUGUAAACCUACACUCACUUCCCUGAAAUGGAAACUGGGCGGAGAUCUCGUUCCUGAAGCUCGAAAGUGAAAGUAUAAAACACAUUAUAGAAGGCUUGGUGCUUGUUGUAAGCUUGAUGGUUAACAUUAUCACAGGUUUGUAAACCGUGUAAGGCUUAUCAUUAUCGUAACCUAUGUGGGCUGUACAUGGACCAAUGAGAUUGCGCGCAUGUCGGCCCCUUCCUCAACUGUUCAUCGAGUGUGUGCCACGGACACCACCAUUUUUGAUCAAUGCUCAGGAUCCUCGGGACUGUCAGGAUCCUCGGGACUGUCAGGAUCCUCGGGACUGUCAGGAUCCUCGGGACUGUCAGGAUCCUCGGGACUGUCAGGAGCCUCAGGACUGUCAGGAGCCUCAGGACCCAGAUGAUUCACAAAGAAUCAAACAGAACAG